rnacentral:rRNA from 1 species
UUAGAUACCCCACUAUGCUCAGCCCUAAACAUAGACAGUACUAACACAACACUGUCCGCCAGAGAACUACAAGCGAAAAGCUUAAAACUCCAAGGACUUGGCGGUGCUUCAAACCAACCUAGAGGAGCCUGUCCUAUAAUCGAUACCCCACGUUUUACCUUACCGCCCCUAGACACUCAGCCUAUAUACCGCCGUCGUCAGCCUACCUUAUGAAAGCAAUAAAGUAAGCAAAAAAGUUAAUAGCUAAAACGUCAGGUCAAGGUGUAGCAAAUGAGGCGGCAGAGAUGGGCUACAUUUUCUCAAAGAGAAAACACGAAUAGAAUGCUGAAACACACACUUAAAGGUGGAUUUAGUAGUAAGAUAAACAAGAAAGCUUAUCUGAAACCCGCUCUGAAGCGCGCACACACCGCCCG